rnacentral:rRNA from 1 species
UUCGCCCUUCGGUUGAUCCUGCCGGACCCGACUGCUAUCAGAGUAGGACUAAGCCAUGCGAGUUAACGUAGCAAUACGUGGCAUACGGCUCAGUAACACGUAGUCAACAUGCCCAGGGGACGUGGAUAACCUCGGGAAACUGAGGAUAAACCGCGAUAGGUCAUGAUUUCUGGAAUGAUUCAUGGCCCAAAUCUAUAUGGCCCCUGGAUUGGACUGCGGCCGAUCAGGCUGUUGGUGAGGUAAUGGCCCACCAAACCUGUUACCGGUACGGGCUCUGAGAGGAGGAGCCCGGAGAUGGGCACUGAGACAAGGGCCCAGGCCCUAUGGGGCGCAGCAGGCGCGAAACCUCUGCAAUAGGCGAAAGCCUGACAGGGUUACUCUGAGUGGUUUCCGCUAAGGGAACCUUUUGGCACCUCUACAAAUGGUGCAGAAUAAGGGGUGGGCAAGUCUGGUGUCAGCCGCCGCGGUAAUACCAGCACCCCGAGUGGUCGGGACGAUUAUUGGGCCUAAAGCAUCCGUAGCCGGUCCUGCAAGUCUUCCGUUAAAUCCAGCUGCUCAACAGAUGGGCUGCGGGGGAUACUACAGGGCUAGGAGGCGGGAGAGGCAAGCGGUACUUUAUGGGUAGGGGUAAAAUCCGUUGAUCCAUAGAAGACCACCAGUGGCGAAGGCGGCUUGCCAGAACGCGCUCGACGGUGAGGGAUGAAAGCU